rnacentral:rRNA from 1 species
UGGGGAAUUUUGCACAAUGGGGGGAACCUUGAUGCAGCGACGCCGCGUGAGGGAUGGAGGCCUUCGGGUUGUGAACCUCUUUCGCUCGUGUGCAAGCCGCUAUUUGGGUAGUGGUGAGUGUAGCGGGUAAAGAAGCGCCGGCUAACUACGUGCCAGCAGCCGCGGUAAUACGUAGGGCGCGAGCGUUGUCCGGAUUUAUUGGGCGUAAAGGGCUUGUAGGCGGUUUGUCGCGCCUGUCGUGUAAUCCUCUGGCUUAACUGGGGGUGUGCGGUGGGUACGGGCAGGCUUGAGUGGGGUAGGGGAGAUGGGAAUUCCUGGUGUAGCGGUGGAAUGCGCAGAUAUCAGGAGGAACACCGGUGGCGAAGGCGGGUCUCUGGGCCGUUACUGACGCUGAGGAGCGAAAGCGUGGGGAGCGAACAGG